ACAAACAUAUGGAUGCCCACAAACACACAUUCAGACACAAAAAGAGAAGACAAAGUUCUCAAAAUUAGCACACAAUAGUUUGACUAGGAAUAGGAGAGGAUUUUUCACUUAGAUUAUGGAUGAUGGCUUUUUACAAAUAUAUAAUAUUUAUGUAUUUAUAAUGAGUAAAAUAUUUUUAAGAAAUGAAGUCACCAGAGAAACUGUAGUAGAGUUUAUAUUCUGCAUGUUACCUACAUGCACACAUGGUCACAUCUGAUACCACAGUGCAUGUUUAUACACACACACAUGCAGAGACACACACAGCACUAUAUAUAUAUAGGUUUGAAAGAGCAAAGAAAAGGGAGAAAUGCAUACACACAAAGAAGAAAGUUAUCAAAGUUAGCAUAAAUAGUGAUUGUAAGAAUGGGUGGAUUUUAGAUUAUGUUAUGGAGGAUGGAUUUUUACAAACACACAAUGUUUUCAUCUUUGAAUUAUGUAAGUUAUUAUGCAGAAAUGAAGGCACCAGACAAACAUUAGCAGAGUUUAUUCUCUGGAUGUCACCUACAUGAACACAUAUGUGCCUUCUCUACAUGAAAACUACUCUGCAUACAUAUACACACAAACACACACACACAGAGCAAGUGUGCGUGAGAGAGAUAGGUUAAAUGCAUAUUGAAUUUGACAGUUUGCUUUUUCUAAAACACCACUUAAAUUAUUUUUUUUCCACUAUGGCUGUUUCGGUCAUUUCAUUCUCACUGGGUAUUUUGACAAACUUGGGCUCAACAACACCAUUCAUAUCUUUAUUGCAAGCACUAUUGUUAUGGCACUGUAAUAUUCAUAAAGUUCUAAUCCGGGAUGAUGGCUCAUGCAUAUAAUCGAGACACUUGGGGUAACUGACACAGGCACAGGGCAGAGAGUCAGCACCAAUUAGAACGAACCAGUAUAAAAUGGAUGAUUCCUGGUCAAUAGCCAGUUUCUAGGUCCAAGCAGCCUGAUAUGCUCAGCCUCCAGGUGAAAAUAGCUUGUUUUGUCUCUUCUCAAUGAUAGUCAGAGCCCAGGUUAAAUGACUUUUUCUCCUGACUUUGUCCUGUCAAUUUCCCUGCUUCUGCUGCAACAGAUAGGGAGAUGAGAGAGAAACAAAAUAGCCGCCUUUGAUGGAAAGCUCCCGAGUUACAACAGGCUUUGAUUUCUGUACCUAGGAUUGAGUGCUCCCCCUCUCUCCAUUGAAUGUUCCAAAUCCAUUCUGUAUUUGAUUGUACACACUCAGUCAGUCACAGGCAAACUUCACACAGGGCUUUUGCCAAUCAGACUCCUGACUGCAAUACACCUCUCAGCUGGUUUUAGGUUCUAGUCAGGUCUUCCCUACAACCUACCUACAAGUGAAGGAGAGCUGCUUCUGAGACCUGAAAGGAGACACAACCAGUGGAAAUGCAGUAGGAGUGAUUGUUUAGAGUUGUAAUCAUUUUGCAUCUAACAUGAAGCAAUCAACAGCUGUUUUCACCUAUCUCUUCAAGGAGAAGUUCCUCACUACCCCUGGGAUGUCUUUAGGAAACUCCUUGUUUAAAUUCCGUUCUAUUGUGGCCAAGAUUCAGUAGCCAUGCUUGUGGAGUCAGCAGCUGUCUCUGGGAAUGACUGCCGAACUAUUCAUCCAAGGACCAGACAAGAAUGCAAUGAACAACAAAGACCAUCUUUUAAGGGAUCCUGUUUCAUGAGAGAGUCAGCUAGACAUUCUGAAGGACACACAAAAAUGUGACUGAGAAACUGCCAAUAUAGGCUGACCUAUCUUAUUUCUUACUUCCUGGAAAAGUUUGCUGGAUACUAUGGGAUCAGUAAGCUGAAGAUGGAUGCUCCAAUGGUACACAUUGUUUCUUCUGUGAGUCAGAUGCAUUUGGUUACUCUUCCCUGUCUGGA